GUGUACCUGUUGCGGACAGAUAUAAUGCACGUGCACGUCAACGGCGCCUGCGGUGACGAUGAGUUUCUCGCCUGCGAUGACUUCGGUAGAAGAGCCAAUGACCAAGGCAGGGUGGACGUUGGCCAUUAUGUCGGGGUUUCCUGCUUUACCGAUACCAACGAUAACACCGUUUUUAACACCGAUGUCUGCCUAUGAGAAGGGGUUAACAAAGUCGAACUUGCCAUGCUUUAUUGCAUACCUUGUAGAUCCCAGACCAAUCGAUGAUAAGGGCGUUGGUGAUAACGAGGUCGAGGGUUUUUUCAGAGGAUCGAUUGGUGGCCUGGCCCAUUCCUUCAC
rnacentral:sRNA from 1 species